GAUGUGAGGCCGUGGGACCACUUGAAAGGCCAGAAACCACAACGUGGACGUGGAAGGAACAGUGGAGAUCACCUCUUUCAAGCUGUUCAUUUCUCAGAUGGAGAAACUGAGGCUGAGAGAGAGGCAUUCUCAAGAUCACUUGGUUGCCCAAGGGCAGUUCCCAGUGUGCAGACCUCAUUCCAUGGCUCCUUCUGUUCCAGCCCAAGAUCUUCUAGUAUCUCAUCUUCCUGGGCUUCUGUCUGCCUGUCAAUAGGACCAGUCAUUCCAACUGAACACACAUGCUAUCAUGGAUGUGAAGGUGCUUGACGGACAGAUGGCUGAUUCCCCAAUGCCAGCCCUCCGAGCACCCCUGUCCCCUAUUUGUCAGGCUGGUUGCAGGCCAGCUUGUAACCCCUCAGGAUGGAGCCCAAACUGUUCUCCGAAGCCACUGUCGUCCCUCAGCUGUGCCAAAUCCGCCUUUGAUCUGCUAAUCCUGAGUUUAUAAGAUCUGCCCUUCCAUCUGGAGCCCUCCUGCCUGGUACUGACCCUGGGAGGCAGCAGAGAUCCUAUCCCUAGGAGAGGGAUAAGACUUCAGGCCAACCCUGCGGUUCGGGUUCAAGACAGAAUAGCACACAAGGAAACAAAAGGACCACACGAAUGUUCGAAUCCUCCUUGGAAUAAAUAUUCCCUGGUAAUAAAAACGGUG